GGGAUAGCUCAGUUGGUAGAGCAUGAGACUCCUAAUCUCAGGGUUGUGAGUUCAAAACCCAUGUAGGGCCA